GAUGAAGAACGCAGCGAAAUGCGAUACUUGGUGUGAAUUGCAGAAUCCCGUGAACCAUCGAGUCUUUGAACGCAAGUUGCGCCCGAAGCCAUUAGGCCGAGGGCACGCCUGCCUGGGUGUCACACACCGUUACCCUCGCGCCAACGUCCAUCGUUGGCCGCGGCGCGGGGCGUGCGCUGACCUCCCGCGAGCGGGGUCUCGUGGUUGGUUGAAAAUCGAGUUCGCGGUCGAGGGUGCCGUGAUGAAAUGGUGGAUGGGCGACGCCCGAGGCCAAUCACGCGCGACUCUGUGGCUCGGACUCCUGGACCCCUUCGGCGUCUCCGGACGCUCUUUGGCGAGACCUCAGGUCAGGCGGGGCUACCCGCUGAGUUUAAGCAUAUCAAUAAGCGGAGGA
rnacentral:misc_RNA from 1 species